CUGAAGAAUCAGGAUCUGACUCAUUUCUAUCAUGGUUUAACAUCCUAAGCAUGUCUGAACAUCUUUCUGCACCAUUUUUAGGAUGCUGUAACCCAGCUCUCCUCGCUGCCUGGUGGUCAGAGAGUAGAGGACUAGGAUGUUUCACUGGCAGACGGCAGGGUCUUGCUUCAACAUCAAAAGCUUUGGAAUCCCAGGCUCUUGGGAACCAAGUAAGAUUUGCAAAACAAACUGAAGAUGGUUACCAAUGCUUUCACUAGGGCCCCAAUAUCCUUACCUCUUUAAGAUACUUGGAUUUGAGUUGGUUUGUGUGCUAUCCUACCAAAUGAAGUCAACCUCAAGUGAGAGAGAACACUUAAGCCCCAAGGUUAUGUGUGGCUGUAACUAGAUCAGAUCAACAAAAAGAACUAUUUUAUUUUUCCUUCUUUUCUAUUCUGAAGCCAACACUUCAGAAUUUCCAGCAAUCUAGAAAUUCCAAGAUAAAUUUGUUGCUUGGUAAAAUUGCCACUCCAGUACAAGGAGAUAAAGCUUACACUCUUCCCAGGCUUUUUCUGUUUCAGUAUGUGUUGUUGUUAAGCUCAGAAUUCCUUAACCUGUUAACUGUAUAACAUCAGAUUCAUUCCAUGGUUAAUAUUUAGGCAUGAAAGUUCAUCCAUAAACCACUAAAAAAAAAAAAAAAAAGUGGCUGAAAUUGCAAUGUUUUCUACUCUGAUAUUGCUGUCCACAAAAAGUCUUCUGCAAUAUU